UACGGAGGGUGCAAGCAUUAAUCGGAUUUAUUGGGUGUAAAGAGUGCGUAGGCGGACUGGCAAGUCAGAUGUGAAAUUCCGUUGCUUAACAUCGGAGCUGCAUUUGAUACUACCUGUCUUGAGGAUAGACGGAGAAAACGGAAUUCCACGUGUAGCGGUGAAAUGCGUAGAUAUGUGGAAGAACACCUGUGGCGUAAGCGGUUUUCUAAUUUAUUCCUGACGCUGAGGUACGAGAGCAAGGGGGAGCAAACAGG
rnacentral:rRNA from 1 species